GUGCCAGCAGCCGCGGUAAUACGGAGGGUGCAAGCGUUGUUCGGAAUUACUGGGCGUAAAGCGCGUGCAGGCGGUUCGGUAAGUCAGAUGUGAAAGCCCUGGGCUCAACCCAGGAAGUGCAUUUGAUACUGCCGUGCUAGAGUAUGGGAGAGGAGAGUGGAAUUCCCAGUGUAGAGGUGAAAUUCGUAGAUAUUGGGAGGAACACCCGUGGCGAAGGCGACUCUCUGGACCAAUACUGACGCUGAGACGCGAAAGCGUGGGGAGCAAACAGGAUUAGAUACCCCCGUAGUCC
rnacentral:rRNA from 1 species